GCCCGUUGCGUAAUGGUGAGCGCAUUUGACUUCUAAUCUAGAGUUUCCGGGUUCGAGUCCCGGCAUCGGUUU
rnacentral:tRNA from 1 species